ensembl:lncRNA
AUGAAUCACUAAGAUAACCCAAAAAAUUAAGCAAAAUAGAAUAAAUACUAUGAUUCAAAUACAGUACUGUUUGUAUUCCAAGCAUAGUUUUCAUACCAAAGUGUUGAAUGCCAUGCAUUAUAGUGCCAAAGCAAGUAAACCCAUAUUUUUGUUCAGAAAACAGAUACCCUAACAGCAUAUUUCCCCAAUCGUUUUCUAUAACCUGUUUUCGGUCUGAAUGAAAAAGGAAAGUGUCGAGUCAUCAUUGAUGUUUGAGUGUAAGUGACACAGUUUGGGAGGAAAAAACCAGCUUGUGCAGCCUGGAUUCUAUUCCUGAGCUUUUAGUCAUUCACCAAAGUAAAAAAAGCUGCUAAAUCAAUAUCACAGGAUGAUUUGGUCAUUGGGUGAUUUUCUUUUUCCCUUUACUCUCCGCAGAGUUGGAGGGAGUCGGUUGUAACAAGUACGUUCAUUCUCUCAGGACCGAAAACAUGUUAAGAGUCAUUUCCAGGAAGUAAAUGAUGCUGUGACCAUUCAGAAAGGGAAGUAUGAACUGGAAUAUAACUUUUUCUGUUAUUUUCUGACCAUUUAUAUUCAUAAAUAUUUACCAGCAACACACUUCAUCCGCUAUCCGCUAUUUAUUUUAACACCAAUAUGAACACACACCAUAACCAGAAACCGGAGACAAUAGGAAUAAUGUAUGUAUAUUUGAUGUGUGAAGAGCAGAGCUUUAGUUAUUAUAGAGUUAUAGAGAUGAGUGUACCUUUCACAGGAUUUGUAGCCAAUUAUUUCUAUCCUUUCAUAAAUGUUUGUAUGAUGACUUCUUUGAAGUAUCCCAUAUUAAUCCCCGUGGGGUAACUGUGAUUUAGGACCUUGUAAUUGACUGGCGCUGUAUAGGCCACGGGGGUCGACGGGGUCACUCCUCCCCACUACGAACAUGGACACAAAACACACAAAGCAUAACUACCUCCACGUCUGCAGUCACUGUGAGUUCUCUGAUUUUGGCUUUAAAUGAACAGAUGAACGGAUCAGACGUUCUAGAUCGCAGUUGAAAAAAAUAACAAUAAUUCCAGAAUAUUUUUCCUCAUUUGCGUCUCAGAAUUUCUGUGAAAAAAGGUUAAAACCCGACAUCAGGUGACAGAAACAGAAUAAUCUUCAUAGCAGCUGUAGAACGAGGUGUUCGGAGCAGCUCUUCUCCCAACGAUGCUCCACAGCAGAGCAGCUCUGGACCUUCUGUGAGCUGCUGCUGCCACAAAGUGGAUGAAAGCUCACCAGCGUCAUGGUGAUGAUUUAUUAUGGUGAUGGUUGAUGGUGGUAACGUAGAUGAGAAUCUGUGCAAUGACGGGCCGCACCGACCAGCUGAUGGCGCCACAGGACGACGGGCCGAGCCUCCACAGAGCCAGAUGGUGAGCAGUGGCUCAGCUCAGGGUCCUCGGGGAGGGUCCACAGACCCUGUGUAGGUCUGGGAGGACACACAGACCCUGUGUAGGUCUGGGAGGGUCCACAGACCCUGUGUAGGUCGUGGAGGACACACAGACCCUGUGUGGGUCGUGGAGGACACACAGACCCUGUGUGGGUCUGGGAGGGUCCACAGACCCUGUGUGGGUCUGGGAGGGUCCACAGACCCUGUGUGGGUCUGGGAGGGUCCACAACAAGCUGCCACAGCGUUGCAGGCUUGUCUUGAAAUACUCGAUGAAAUCACUGUGAUGUUUGCGGACGGCUGUUUUGAAACCAGGACCAUUUUGUCCGUUAGCAUCUUUGUUGAGCGGGUGGAGCUCGACAGAACCGAAGGUUCAAUAAUUUCUUUUAGCUACACACACUCAUAAGCCUGAGGGCACACCCGGUGCAACAGUCAGAUAAACAUGUGUUUGGACCAUUUUGUACUAAGAGGAAGUCUUGAAAGUAGAGAAUGAGAGAAUAGACGAUCUAUAAUGUCUACUUAGGCAAUAAACCAAAUGAGGAGUCAUUCUCCCGUAGACUUCUACACGACCAAACUGCUUUUUGCACCCAGAGGAUUCGCCCCCUUCUGGUCAGUGAAGUGAAUGCAGGUUUGCAUCGGCCUGGUGUGUGUGUGUGUCUCUAUAUAUGUUAAGUAAUUAAAACGAUAUGUAACAUGUAUAUAUAUCGACUCAACACUCCUUAUAGUGACAUAUUUACCCUGCUGCUUUUGUCUUUCAAGUGGACUUGUACUGUUGUACUGGGGCAUUCUGACAUCAUGGUGGUGCUGUUUGUCCACAUUUCAGUGAGCCGGACUGAAACAGUCAUUUUAAGGUAAUUGUUUCCAAUGCACCACAUGCAAGUACCACAUCUUUACCGUGUGUACCUCAACAACACGAGAACCUACUUCUAUUGUAGCUUUAAUGUUCUUUAAUUCAACUCAUUACAUUGUAUUUACCUCUCACAGAAAUGUGAAACAUUUGGCUGAUUGUAUUUUCCUGUGAAUGUUUUAUUAUGUAAGUUCAUUUCGUAUCGUAUCGUAUCAAAGUUUACAGAGAAAGUGCACAGAAUAUAUUUGUAAAUCUUGUGUGGAGCUUUAGUUACUGACCACCUUCAAUAACUCACAUGGAGCUGGAACACACAAUUAAACAAUGAACCCAUUCAACUUGGUGCUGAAAGGGUUUAUGAUCAAAUGAACCCUUUCCCAGUAAACAAGUUCACCUUUCUAUCUUUUCUAGCUGACAACCAAGCUAGUAAACAGAAAUAAGAAAUCGAUCCUUUUCAUGUGUAAAUUAGAAAAGACUGAUCAAGAUGGUUUUGAUGAGUUCCAUAAUGUUUCUGUUGGCUUUGACUGAAGCGUGCGUGUAUCGACGCACCGCCGUGACCUGGACCAUCAGGAGGCAGCUGUACUGUAUAUAAGGAGCACGGGGAUGAGGAAGGGGUUUGGGGGGGGAGGCAAGACACUGGUGGGGGAAUGUGGGUUCCAUGGCGUAACGGUCUGGACUCCGAGUUCAAGUCUCGGUGGAACCUUCCAGUCAGUCAUUGUUAAAAAUGCAAUGUAAGUCGCUUUGGAUAAACGCGUGAGCUAAGUGACCUGUAAUGGUGAAUGUGAUUGAGGUAAUGUCCAUGUCCUCAUGGUCCUCACUGUAACCGCGUGUUGACGGUCCUGCAGUCUGGCGUCUUCGAGGAGAGCGUAUGGAAUCUAAAUGAGUAAUGAUCCAUCUCCAAAUCCAAGUGGUCUCCUCUGUUAUGUUUUCAGAGGGAAAGGGAUUCAAGCCAUUAAUAGUGUAGAGUCCAUCUGUUCUAUAGAAUUGAUCACAUGAAACGAAUCAGUCUUGCAGCUACAGGUGAACAACCUACUGCUCAGGACGUCGUGCCAAACUCCAGAUGUUCUAUCAUCAUCGUCAUUUCCUUUGUGGAAACUUUACUGAAACAAACCUAGAAUUUUAUCUACCAAUUGCAGAUACACAAGAGAUGUGCUGUUGAUAAGUCUAAGUACAGUAUUUCUAACUGAAUGAUACAUUUUGAAGUUGUAUUUAAAAAAGAUUAAUCUCAAAAACCUUUGGGGAUCACGCGACGUGUUAGUUCGCCUACUUUGUCUGCACUGUUAGCGGCACGCGUCCAGGUCACUCAUCAACCCAGAUCAGAUGCUUACGUGACGUUUUUCUCAACGGUAGGAUUAGUUGCCAUCGACCUCCUGGAGGUCUGCACCAUGCCGAGAGGUUUCGUUGCUCAAAUGUGGUUCUCGGUCAGUCAUUGUUCCUCUGAACAACCAACGGCGCAAUCACUCGAUCGCCUGGUGGAGGCCGACUGGCGGGUAUGUAGAUCCCGCUGUGACAAUCAGACAAAGAGCCUCCCAUUGUGCGUCAGAAUGUGAGUGAGGGAGGGAGAGGUCCACCCUGUAUUGUUGCACUGGAUGCCAGCCAGAGAGGAAUGACGGCACCUGACGGAGGGAACAAACCUGUCCUUCCACCUGUCACACGGAACCAAAGCCGAUCCCAACGGGAGGCCCCGCUACAUACCGGGCAUAGCGGACAUGCGCGAGCUGGACACUGGAUUGCGUGACGUGCGCCACUAAAUAAAGUCUUCACAAGGUCUCGCCUCGCUCAGGCACGCCAGAUAUUUGCUUUGCGGUGUAAUAGCGGCUGUACAUUUUUGACUGGUGAUCUGAAAUAGCUGCUCGGUGAAGCGCCGCGGGGGAGUAACAGUGACGCCCGUCCCGACGUGGGGUAGAAGACGUCCCAUUGCAAACGCAGAGGCUUUGUCGUGACGGGGGGGUGGGGGGGGAGAGGAGCUUUGGAAUCGAGAGCAAGCGACGCGUUGCCGACCGGACCGGUUUGCAUAGUCGACAUUCUGUCUCCCGUUUCUACGUCUUUGUCUCGCCGAGAGGAAGAGGCCGGGGGGGCAGAGGUGGGCGUCGGGCUUCAUUCAUUAGGCCCCAGCUGGCUGGGUGACUGGUUUUGGUCCAGCAGGUUAGUAGAGUCGCAUAUUCUACAUUACAAUACAUCACAUCACACGUCAUUUAGCUGCGAUUUUAUCCAAAGCGACUGCUUAAUAUUCUGCUUCUUAUAGGAUUUGCUUUGGAGGGAUUUCGCCCCUUCUGUAAAGACCCAAACAGUACAUUUCUGAUCAUAUAAAUAACUCAUCGGACAUUUACAUGGUCAGGAGUUCAGUAUUAUGGUUCGCCAAUCCAACAUUUUGGUCCAGAGGAAGAUCCCAAAAGCUACUGGCCAGAGGUUAAUGUGUUGUGGCAACGAUAAAAAUCGCCGUACUAAGCACAUCGUUCUGUUCCUCCAUUCAAUUGUUAAGAAAAUUGAAAGUGAAAAGCAAAUAAAAUCAGAUACAGCAUGUUUUUUUGGGGGCAAAUUGGCAUUUAUCUGCCAGCAAACGGGGCAGACGGGUUGCAAACUGGAAAAAAAGCCCAUUCGUGAUAGAAGAAAGGAAUUCAAAUAGUUGAGCGCGCUUUUAUUGUUGCUACUAUCGGCAAUGUCACGUCAGGGGACAAAUACGAGCAAUCAGACGUCAGCGGCCUGUGAGUCGAUGGUUCAUCUGUCAAAUGCGACGUCGGUGUCCGUUGAACAAAUCAACUGCUUUUUACGAAGGCCAAAACCACCCGGGGGAGCUUAGAAACAUCCCACACAUGAAUAUCUACAUCAUCUACAUACAUCUGGCAGAUCAGCUGACCGGCCGACCUCUCUCCUUCUACUCCGUUUACAGUCGGAUUCAAUUCUUAAAAUUCGUUGGUCGGGUGAAUCAAAUGUUUCUGGGUCUGUCUGACCUCCUUUGGGUCUCGCCCACGUGCCCUGAUGUGACAUGAAGCUUCUAACUCAAACGCCGUCACCGUCCAUCUGAGAUCCUCGCGUCAAUCAACCGUGGACCAAUCUGUGUUUUUUGGACGGGCACUUGUACGAGAUCACUCCAUCCAAGUCCUCCCCCCCUUUGGACUCUCCUCACAUUCCUACGUUCCAGCAUCAGUGGGGAGCAGGAGAAAGACGGCGGGCCGAUGGCAGCGACACACGCGGCGUUCAGGUUCAAUAGGAGACCAGAACGUUGGGGAUGUUUUUCUGCUCUCCUUUGGAAAUCAUUCUCAUCUGUCGUUGCAGCCUCUUACGUAACAUCUGGAUGUAGGAACCUGCCGCAGUGCUGACGCGCUCAGCGGCUGGUCCUGGAUAUGAUUAGCAUGUGGGGGGGGGGGGGGCAAUGUGGAAGAGAAUGAGGAGGAAGAGGAGGAUAGGAGAAGGCUGCAUGGCCGAGAUACACGUUUCGUGAGAUACUGAGCCUUCACUCGCCCGGCCGGUCGCUUGCUUUAAAAAGAGCGGAUCAUCAGGACCAGCGACCCCUUGGUGAACCAGGUGCCCACAUGCCAUCCCAGUGAAGCUCACAGCCACCUGAGGAAGAUGCCAUCUGUCUUCUUGUGCGUUAUUUAAAUUAUUUAUUAAAUUAUUUAUUUAUUAUUUACCUUCACCGCGUCUCAAGUGACGUCACGUUCCAUCCCCGCGUGUCAAAGGUCACGUGGGAGCAGCGUCAUAGCAGCAACGCCGGCCAACCAGCCGCCAUGUUGGCGCGUCAUCACCGGCGCGCUGUACGCCCCGCCCCCCUCCCCGUGUCCUCCAGCGCCGCCGGGUCAGAGGAGGGGGGAGGAGGAGGGGGAGGAGCAGCGCGGGUCACCUGCACGUCCCACCCUGGAUCGACCGGUUUGUUUUCUUUUAUCCUCCGUGACGUGAGCGCGCGGAGCCGCAGACGAGACACGGACCGACCGCAGCGGCGCUCGCGCGUCUCCGUUCACCGGGAGGGAGAACCGACAGACAGCGGGGGCUUGCGCUCUGAACGCGGGUCUCCGUUAGGACCGAAGACGGGAAACAACAAGAACCUCAGUUGCGGUGAAAGGGUUUUUU